rnacentral:rRNA from 1 species
GAUGAACGCUAGCGGCAGGCCUAACACAUGCAAGUCGAGGGGCAGCACGUCUUCGGAUGGUGGCGACCGGCGCACGGGUGCGUAACGCGUAUGCAACCUACCUCUUACAGUGGGAUAGCCCAGAGAAAUUUGGAUUAAUACCGCAUAGUAUACAGAUUCAGCAUUGGGACUGUAUUAAACAUUUAUGGGUAAGAGAUGGGCAUGCGUUCUAUUAGUUAGUUGGAGUGGUAACGGCACCCCAAGACAGCGAUAGAUAGGGGCCCUGAGAGGGGGAUCCCCCACACUGGUACUGAGACACGGACCAGACUCCUACGGGAGGCAGCAGUGAGGAAUAUUGGGCAAUGGGCGAAAGCCUGACCCAGCCACGCCGCGUGAGUGAAGAAGGCCU